UGUCCAGGUGACCACUUCGUUCACUCACGAACUUUACCUGUUCGCCGUGUUUAUGGCGCAAGAUAAAUUUGUGGAAGAAGCCCAGACAUCGGAUUUGGCUUCACAUGACGGGCACAUGAUCGCCAGAUGUUGAUAUGGGUCAACCUGAAUAGACAACGGGUCUUCCAUGAUGCAGUGUCAGGGCCGACCAGAGGUUGAGGUCAACUGCCAGGAAGACAAGUAUAGGGCCAUUUAAUGGUUCAGAAGGAGAAGUGGUUGCUAUCCACUGCACAUAUCCUCGCCAGUAGAGGACCAUUAUUGUAAUCCGUUUGCCGGAUGCUGCGGAUGCUGUUUAUUGUUUGUUUCCUGUUCUGUUUCACCGUGAAACAUGGAAUGAUUUGCGUGAUUGACAUUACCGAGGUGAACUGAUCGUGACACCAAUCGUCACAAGCACUUGGAAAAGUGAACGACAUUCCUGUCGUGUGGAGAGACUGUAGACUCAGUGAUAUAUGAAUAAAUGUAGUAUAGUAGAGAGGGUGAUUGGGAGAGUGAAUGAGUUGGUAUUUUUUUUUGUGAUUAUAUGUAAAUAAAUUUGUAUAUAUGAAAA